UUUGCAAGUUUCCUAAAGUUGGCUUAUGAAGUGGGGUUAUUGUUUAUGAUUGAAUGAUGAUAGAAUUAUGCUUAAAUUGAGUUGAAUAGUUGAUUUCUAUUAUUAUCUAUGUUUAUCUAUUGUGAAUUAUUGGAGAGUUGAGGAAUGGUGAUUGUGGCUUUGGAAAAGGGUAAGUUGACCUAUUUUAUGAAAAAUGUUGAAUUAGUAGGGAAUUGAGUAAUGUUGGUUAUGGCUUUGGAAAAUGGUAAGAUGGCUUAAUCUCUUAGUAUUGAUAUAAUUGUUAUUGGUUGGUUUGAUCCACCUUUGGUGGAGGUGGUUAUUUGUUGUAUUAUUGUGAAUUGAGG
rnacentral:lncRNA from 1 species